CUGCUUCAUCCAACAGCACAGCACAUAUUUUAAAAUUGGAAUGAUACAGAGAUUAAUUAUAUGGCCUUUGUACAAGGAUGACAUGCCAGUUCAAGCAGAAAAUAAACUGCUU